AGCGAACGCUGGCGGUAGGCCUAACACAUGCAAGUCGAACGGCAGCACAGUAAGAGCUUGCUCUUACGGGUGGCGAGUGGCGGACGGGUGAGGAAUACAUCGGAAUCUACUUUUUCGUGGGGGAUAACGUAGGGAAACUUACGCUAAUACCGCAUACGACCUACGGGUGAAAGCAGGGGAUCUUCGGACCUUGCGCGAUCGAAUGAGCCGAUGUCGGAUUAGCUAGUUGGCGGGGUAAAGGCCCACCAAGGCGACGAUCCGUAGCUGGUCUGAGAGGAUGAUCAGCCACACUGGAACUGAGACACGGUCCAGACUCCUACGGGAGGCAGCAGUGGGGAAUAUUGGACAAUGGGCGCAAGCCUGAUCCAGCCAUACCGCGUGGGUGAAGAAGGCCUUCGGGUUGUAAAGCCCUUUUGUUGGGAAAGAAAAGCAGCAGGUUAAUACCCCGCUGUUCUGACGGUACCCAAAGAAUAAGCACCGGCUAACUUCGUG
rnacentral:rRNA from 1 species